rnacentral:rRNA from 1 species
GGUCGACUCAUCCACAACGAACCCCAACGAUUUCUCGAGCGAGGAGGUUCAUGCGAUCCUGAAGCAUUCCUUACUGCAGCUCUCCGUGGAGAUGACGCCAUCAUUCGCGGCGCCUGUAGCUAACCCAGCUUCUUGUCCAGGAACGCGGCGAUCCAUCAUACGCGAGGGCAGUAGACACAGCGAGCCAAGAAGUGGUCUUACGGCAUCCAACGUCAUCGACUUGCAUGUAUGAUGCACCUAGCGAGCCUUUCGCCAACGACGAUAC